rnacentral:rRNA from 1 species
AUGCAGUCGACGAUGAAGACCGUGCUUGCACGGUUGGAUUAGUGGCGAACGGGUGAGUAUCACGUGAGUAACCUUCCCUUAACUCUGGGAUAAGCCCGGGAAACUGGGUCUAAUACCGGAUACGACCAGUCCUCGCAUGGGGUGCUGGUGGAAAGAUUUAUCGGUUUUGGAUGGACUCGCGGCCUAUCAGCUUGUUGGUGAGGUAAAGGCUCACCAAGGCGAUGACGGGUAGCCGGCCUGAGAGGGUGACCGGCCACACUGGGACUGAGACACGGCCCAGACUCCUACGGGAGGCAGCAGUGGGGAAUAUUGCACAAUGGGCGAAAGCCUGAUGCAGCGACGCCGCGUGCGGGAUGACGGCCUUCGGGUUGUAAACCGCUUUCAGCAGGGAAGAAGCGAAAGUGACGGUACCUGCAGAAGAAGCGCCGGCUAACUACGUGCCAGCAGCCGCGGUAAUACGUAGGGCGCGAGCGUUAUCCGGAAUUAUUGGGCGUAAAGAGCUCGUAGGCGGUUUGUCACGUCUGCUGUGAAAGCCCGGGGCUCAACCCCGGGUGUGCAGUGGGUACGGGCAGACUAGAGUGCAGUAGGGGAGACUGGAAUUCCUGGUGUAGCGGUGAAAUGCGCAGAUAUCAGGAGGAACACCGAUGGCGAAGGCAGGUCUCUGGGCUGUUACUGACGCUGA